rnacentral:rRNA from 1 species
UAAGUAUAUGAGGUGAUUAAUUGGAGGGCAAAUCAAGUGCCAGCAGCCGCGGUAAUACUUGUUCCAAGAGUGUGUAUGAUGAUUGAUGCAGUUAAAAAGUCCGUAGUUUAUUUUUUUAAAACAUUAGGGUAUGUAUUGGAAAAUGAAUGGACACAA